rnacentral:misc_RNA from 1 species
AAAAAAAACGAGUGUGCUUUAGACCACACUGAAGUAAAACUUCUUGACGCACGCUUGAGUUGGGGAGUGAGCUGGUGAAUGCGUGACGAGAGCGUUAAUAUUUUUUCUUUAUAAUAAUAGAUAUAGAAGUAGAUCUGACAUAUACUCGUAGUAACUAAAUGUAGUAGUGGGUGGACGCCGGCGAUGCAGGUGCGGCACGACCACACAACGACUUGGAUGUACCGCGGAUACGAAGAUACGAUGAGAGUGUGACGACACGACAUGGACACGACGAACGUCGAACGGACAGUAAGGAGGCAAUAAAUGGUUGUUCGCAUCGAAUAAUAUUUAAUUAGUCUAGCGAGGUGAAUACAGAGUAUUUGAAAGCCAGCAGUUAGAUCAUUAUCCCGCUAUCGGUCGGCUUUUUAAGUUCCAAAUUAUUAGUGGAACUGUGCUAUCCCUUAGUCACGUCUUACGACACCCACGGGAAGAGAGGGGGUGGAUAACCAUCCAACUGCUGGCUUUGAAAUACACAGGCCGAAGACGGGCUGCAGCGUCUUCGGUGCGACAAAGCCAGCCCUGCGGUCACCAAACCGCUGCCCAGCGUGGGGACUAUGGGCUAAACACGUGAGCUCACGCCAUCUUUGGCGUGAACUUGUGGAGGCCGGUGUCCAGCAGUGGACUGUAACAGGCUAAAUAAUUAUUAAUAUUUCGUUUUUUGUUUUGUUAAUUCAAAACGACACUACUUGAGAGCACUAUAAUGGAACUAAUAGCACCUGUUUUACU